rnacentral:rRNA from 1 species
GUAUCAUGGCUCAGGACGAACGCUGGCGGCGCGCCUAACACAUGCAAGUCGAACGAGAGAUGAGGAGCUUGCUCUUCAAAUCGAGUGGCGAACGGGUGAGUAACGCGUGAGGAACCUGCCUCAAAGAGGGGGACAACAGUUGGAAACGACUGCUAAUACCGCAUAAGCCCACGGCUCGGCAUCGAGCAGAGGGAAAAGGAGUGAUCCGCUUUGAGAUGGCCUCGCGUCCGAUUAG